CCUACGGGAGGCUGCAGUGAGGAAUAUUGGUCAAUGGCCGAGAGGCUGAACCAGCCAAGUCGCGUGAGGGAAGACGGCCCUACGGGUUGUAAACCUCUUUUGUCGGGGAGCAAAGCGAUUCACGUGUGACUCAUUGUGAGUACCCGAAGAAAAAGCAUCGGCUAACUCCGUGCCAGCAGCCGCGGUAAUACGGAGGAUGCGAGCGUUAUCCGGCUUUAUUGGGUUUAAAGGGUGCGUAGGCGGGUGGGAAAGUCAGCGGUAAAAUUGCGGGGCUUAACCCCGUACUGCCGUUGAAACUGCAUGCCUUGAGUGCGCGAGAGGUAUGCGGAAUGCGUGGUGUAGCGGUGAAAUGCAUAGAUAUCACGCAGAACUCCGAUUGCGAAGGCAGCAUACCGGCGCGCAACUGACGCUGAUGCACGAAAGCGUGGGUAUCGAACAGGAUUAGAUACCCGAGUAGUC
rnacentral:rRNA from 1 species